UACGUAGGUGGCGAGCGUUGUCCGGAUUUACUGGGCGUAAAGGGAGCGUAGGCGGACUUUUAAGUGAGAUGUGAAAUACCUGGGCUUAACUUGGGUGCUGCAUUUCAAACUGGAAGUCUAGAGUGCAGGAGAGGAGAAUGGAAUUCCUAGUGUAGCGGUGAAAUGCGUAGAGAUUAGGAAGAACACCAGUGGCGAAGGCGAUUCUCUGGACUGUAACUGACGCUGAGGCUCGAAAGCGUGGGGAGCAAACAGGAUUAGAUACCCU
rnacentral:rRNA from 1 species